AACAACGCUGGCGGCGUACCUAACACAUGCAAGUCGUACGAGAAAUUCCGAUUCGUCGGGAGAGUAAAGUGGCGAACGGGUGAGUAACACUAGGGUAAUCUUCCCUUAAAUAAGGGAUAACGUUGCGAAAGCGACGCUAAUACCUUAUAAGACUACGAUCUCUUAGGAGGUAGUAGGAAAAGAUGGCCUCUGUUUCAAGCUAUCGUUUAAGGAUGAGCCCUAGCACUAUUAGCUAGUUGGUGAGGUAACGGCUCACCAAGGCGACGAUGGUUAGCUGGUCUGAGAGGAUGGCCAGCCACACUGGAACUGAGACACGGUCCAGACUCCUACGGGAGGCAGCAGUGAGGAAUAUUGCGCAAUGGGGGCAACCCUGACGCAGUGACGCCGCGUGAGUGAUGAAGGCUUUCGAGUCGUAAAGCUCUGUUAGGUGGAAAGAAACAUCCCGGCGCUAAUAUCGUCGGGACUUGACGGUACCACCAGAGGAAGCACCGGCUAACUCCGUG
rnacentral:rRNA from 1 species